GCGAGAUAACUCCAGAGGAGAGAAUUUCGCACGAGAGGAACGCACCGACAGUCGGCGCCGAGCCGUUCUCGCGCGAUAUUGUUGUUUCUGCUUGAUUUUACGUAUCCUUUCGCGGCGCGAUGAUACUCACCGUUUAUGACUUUCGAUCAACCGCCAUAAAGUGCGUCCCUUAGAAUUCUGCUGCGCGAGUGAGAACUGUCGCGUGGUGAAAGAUAGGACAGUUUCGCCGUUUCGCCAGAAGAUCCAUGUGCUCCCAGCAUGGCCAUCAUGCAAUCCUGUUGCUGUUGGCAGUCUGUACGCAAAGGCAGCUAUGCUUGUGCCAUUUACACUCUAAUAUACUACGCUCUGUUAGCGUGGACUACAAGUACGAUUUUUUUGGAGGAAAGUCAGUACCUAAGAGGAAAUGUUUCUCUGCCGAAAUCCUCCAGCUUUUUGGAAUCGGGGACUAUAUCGCCGACGACGAUUCGAUUCAACGGAAUGCUGCUUAUCUGCUCCUGCUGCGGCGUGCUGUGCAGUCUCCUUCUUUUAUACGGUUUGUUCAAGGAUCAUAAAGUGUUGCUGUUACCAUGGAUUAUCGUAAUCAUCACGACCGGUAUCACUGACCUAAUACAUACCUUGUAUUUACUCAUUGCCACACGUGACCUUAUUCCAACAAAAGUUAUGAUCUACACGUUAAAUUUCUUUCUACUUUGUUUAAAUAUAUACUCGCUAUUAUGUGUCAUCUCACAGUAUCAAGAAUAUUCAGCUGGUCGUGGCACCGCUGCACACGAAUACAGGUAUCCUUUGAAGGUUCCAGUAGUGAAAUAUGUGACUCAACCACCAACUACGACCGCCACCACAUCGUGUCCAAGUUCACGAAGAGGUGUGACCAAUAACGAAACAAAGGCAACACCGACUCAGAGUCCCACAAUAUGUCACAAUCCUCUGUUAUCGGAGAAAAGUCCGAGUACUGGGAGUCGUGUAUCACGAAAACAUGUACAGUUUCCAUCAUCGAGUCAGAUAGAGAGGCCAGGUUGAAAUGUUGGAUCUCUUUUACGCUUGACACUUAUAGAAAUUGAACUAGACAUUUUUUCCGAAUCCAAUAGUAGAGAUCCCAACAAACUGUUCGUCGACAAUUGAGCGUAACGCGAGGACAUGGCUGCAACUCAACGAUAUUUUAACAACCCUGAUUACCAAUUCUCCUCGACGAUGAGCAUAAUAAUUGCUCGUGAAAAAUAUAGAUAUAAUUACAUAUAAUUAUUAAUAACAUGUAUGUGAUUGUAUGAUCUCCAUGGAAGACCUAUUAUAUUACUAUUGUUGUAAAUAUGUUAAUGAAUUUAUUGAUGGAUAAAGAAAAAUCAAACUGA
rnacentral:misc_RNA from 1 species